rnacentral:tRNA from 1 species
CGCGGGGUGGAGCAGUCUGGUAGCUCGUCGGGCUCAUAACCCGAAGGCCGCUGGUUCAAAUCCAGCCCCCGCCACCA